rnacentral:tRNA from 2 species
GGGCGUAGUUUAAUGGUAGAACGCGAGCUUCCCAAGCUUGCAGCGAGGGUUCGAUUCCCUUCGCCC